rnacentral:rRNA from 1 species
ACGGGAGGCAGCAGCUAAGAAUAUUCCGCAAUGGACGAAAGUCUGACGGAGCGACGCCGCGUGGAUGAUGAAGGCCGGAAGGUUGUAAAAUCCUUUUAUAACUGAGGAAUAAGGGUUCUAGGAAAUGAGGAUCCGGUGACUGUAGGUUAUGAAUAAGCAACGGCUAAUUACGUGCCAGCAGCCGCGGUAACACGUAAGUUGCGAGCGUUGUUCGGAAUUAUUGGGCGUAAAGGGCAUGUAGGCGGUUAUGCAAGCUUGGUGUGAAAGGCAGGAGCUUAACUCCUGGACUGCGUUGAGAACUGCAUAACUGGAGUCACUGAGGGGCAGGCAGAAUUCCAGGUGUAGGGGUGAAAUCUGUAGAUAUCUGGAAGAAUACCAAUGGCGAAGGCAGCCUACCAGCAGAUGACUGACGCUGAGGUGCGAAGGUGCGGGGAGCAAACAGGAUUAGAUACCCUGGUA